CCUACGGGAUGCAGCAGUGAGGAAUAUUGGUCAAUGGGCGCGCGCCUGAACCAGCCAAGUAGCGUGAAGGAUGACUGCCCUACGGGUUGUAAACUUCUUUUAUAAAGGAAUAAAGUGAGGCACGUGUGCCUUUCUGUAUGGACUUUAUGAAUAAGGAUCGGCUAACUCCGUGCCAGCAACCGCGGUAAUACGGAGGAUCCGAGCGUUAUCCGGAUUUAUUGGGGUUAAAGGGGUCGUCGAUGGGUUGUUCAGUCAGUUGUGAAAGUUUGCGGCUCAACCGUAAAAUUGCAAUUGAUACUGGCAGUCUUGAGUACAGGUGAGGUAGGCGGAAUGCGUGGUGUAGCGGUGAAAUGCUUAGAUAUCACGAAGAACUCCGAUUGCGAAGGCAGCUUAC
rnacentral:rRNA from 1 species